GUGUCAUUUGAAAGGAGAGCCGUUCAGCACGCUCCCUAGACAAGGAUGAGCACACAAGAGGAUUGAACUGGCACGGUUCAAUUCCACAAAUUUUU